rnacentral:lncRNA from 1 species
CUGGCUGAAGACCAUCUGUGGAGGCCCCAUUACUGUCUGAAUGAGGGAACUGUAAGCAGAGCAAGAGCUCACUGACAACGCACUAGGACUUGUAGCAGUCACGGUGACUCUGUUCAUGGACUGGAGCAUUUUCUUUGUCCUGUUGACUGUUUGGACAAAUGUUUACAACCAAGAUGGUUGCUAAAUGUCUGAAUUCUGCUGAGGAGACUUUCUUCAUUUCCACAGAAGGAAGUGGUUUGGAUACAUUUUUCUCCCUCUCUUGA